AUGAGGGUGAAAUUCUCGCCCCCACUGCUUCUUUUGUUACCCAUCUCUCUGUUUCUGUCUCGCUUUUCCUUCUUCUUUAUUUCUUUAAUUUCAGCUUUGCUUCAAGCCACUCUCUACCGGCCACUGUGCAGGAGCCUCAAAUGUACAGGAGAGUCCCUUUGUAGCUCGGAGCCCAGCAGCACAAACCCAAGGGAACAGACAAGAUGUGACAAGAUGCACAAAUCCACAGAAGCCAGGGUUGGAGUCAAGCCAGAAACAGAAGAAAAUGUAUAAGCUGUAAGACCCUGCUCUCAAAACUGCACAGAGAUCACAGAACAAGGAAAUGGGUCUUCUCUUCACUUUGAGGAAGCAGGUAUUGAGACCUUCCUGGUUCUUUCUUGCUUUUUUUAAUGGAAAGACCCACAUGUACCUUUAUGAAUGUUCCUCUUACUUUAAAACAGCAACAACAUCUGCUUACAGUUGGUAGUACUAAUAGCAAUCAUGUAUAUUCCCCGGGUACACUGCUAAGAAUAUCACAGGCACAAUCUCAUUUUGCUUUUCUCUUCUUGCCCUCUGAAUAAGCUGCCUUCAUCUGACCCAGGAAGAGAGAGAUCCUUGAAGAAAUGGACCUGCUCAAGGUUGCCCAGCUGGCAAGUGGCCUCCUUGGAGCCUGGGCUUGGGGUUCUGGACCUCUUUUCUGAACUGCCCUUUCUUCAGGGAUGCAGAAAUUUGUUUCAUUUGUAUCCUUAACCUCAACAUGAGCAGAGCAUCCCAGGUAGAGAACAGUUUAUGCUGCAGGAUUAUUUGCUCAUCCAAUUAAUCAAGUUCAGUCCACUGGCUCUAACUCAGAGUUUAAAAAAUACGUCAGAAGCCAACAUUGUGACCUCCUAUGGGUGCACUAAAGCAAACACGUGAAAGACAUCAGUGACCAAGAGACUGAGUUUCAAAGACACCAGCUGAUGUUGUCAGCAAUUUCCCUUCCCUAACUUAUCUUGACUUCCAUGGUGGUUCAGUAGUAAAGAAUCCACCUGCAAUGCAGGAGACAUGGGUUUGAUCCCUGGGUCGGGAAGAUCCCCUGGAGUAGGAAAUGGCAACCCACUCCAGUAUUCUUGCCUAGGAAAUCCAAGGACAGAGGAGCCUGGUGGGCUACAGUCCAUGGGGAUCACAGAGUCAGACACGGCUUAGCAACUAAAUAACAAAGCUUUUCUCUAAUUUCAGUGUUGUCCCUCCACACUGGGGCCAGCACAAUACGCCUUUCAUCCAAGUAGCUGACAAUUUUACUGGUUGUCAUCUU
rnacentral:lncRNA from 1 species